rnacentral:rRNA from 1 species
AAUAUUGGACAAUGGGCGAGAGCCUGAUCCAGCCAUGCCGCGUGCAGGAAGACGGCCCUAUGGGUUGUAAACUGCUUUUUUACGGGAAGAAACACCCCCACGUGUGGGGGGCUUGACGGUACCGUACGAAUAAGGACCGGCUAUACUCCGUGCCAGCAGCCGCGGUAAUACGGAGGGUCCGAGCGUUAUCCGGAAUCAUUGGGUUUAAAGGGUCCGUAGGCGGACGUCUAAGUCAGUGGUGAAAUUCUGCAGCUCAACUGUAGAACUGCCAUUGAUACUGGUCGUCUUGAAUCGUUGUGAAGUGGCUAGAAUAUGUAGUGUAGCGGUGAAAUGCUUAGAUAUUACAUAGAAUACCGAUUGCGAAGGCAGGUCACUAACAACGUAUUGACGCUGAUGGACGAAAGCGUGGGGAGCGAACAGGAUUAGAUACCCUGGUAGUCCACGCCGUAAACGAUGGAUACUAGCUGUCCGGUGCACAUUGGUGUGCUGGGUGSCAAGCGAAAGUGAUAAGUAUCCCACCUGGGAGUACG